AUACUUACCUGGCAGGGGAAAUACCAUGAUCAUGAAGGUGGUUUUACCAGGGUGAGAGUUCUUGCACACUGGAUGUGCUGACUUCUGCGUUUUCCCCAAAUGCGGGAAAUUCGACUGCAUAAUUUGUGGUAGUGGGCCACAGCAUUUGCACUCUCCAC